rnacentral:rRNA from 1 species
UGGGGGAUAUUGCACAAUGGGGGAAACCCUGAUGCAGCAACGCCGCGUGAGUGAAGAAGGUCUUCGGAUUGUAAAGCUCUGUUCUUGGUGAAGAUAAUGACGGUAGCCAAGGAGAAAGCUCCGGCUAACUACGUGCCAGCAGCCGCGGUAAUACGUAGGGAGCGAGCGUUGUCCGGAUUUACUGGGUGUAAAGGGUGCGCAGGCGGCUCUGCAAGUCAGGCGUGAAAGCUAGGGGCUCAACCCCUAAACUGCGCUUGAAACUGUGGAGCUUGAGUGAAGUAGAGGCAGGCGGAAUUCCCGGUGUAGCGGUGAAAUGCGUAGAGAUCGGGAGGAACACCAGUGGCGAAGGCGGCCUGCUGGGCUUUAACUGACGCUCAGGCACGAAAGCAUGGGUAGCAAACAGG